GCUUGCACUGGGGAUUAGUGGCGAACGGGUGAGUAACACGUGAGUAACCUGCCCUUGACUCUGGGAUAAGCCUGGGAAACUGGGUCUAAUACCGGAUAUGACUCCUCAUCGCAUGGUGGGGGGUGGAAAGCUUUUGUGGUUUUGGAUGGACUCGCGGCCUAUCAGCUUGUUGGUGGGGUAAUGGCCUACCAAGGCGACGACGGGUAGCCGGCCUGAGAGGGUGACCGGCCACACUGGGACUGAGACACGGCCCAGACUCCUACGGGAGGCAGCAGUGGGGAAUAUUGCACAAUGGGCGAAAGCCUGAUGCAGCGACGCCGCGUGAGGGAUGACGGCCUUCGGGUUGUAAACCUCUUUCAGUAGGGAAGAAGCCGCGAGGUGACGGUACCUGCAGAAGAAGCGCCGGCUAACUACGUGCCAGCAGCCGCGGUAAUACGUAGGGCGCAAGCGUUAUCCGGAAUUAUUGGGCGUAAAGAGCUCGUAGGCGGUUUGUCGCGUCUGCUGUGAAAGACCGGGGCUCAACUCCGGUUCUGC
rnacentral:rRNA from 1 species